AAGAGGGAGAUGCUGUUCUGAAUCUUUGGUAUCUAAGGACUAGAGGUUGGAUGAUGGUGCCACCGGUGGCAAUUGGUCCCUUGUUGCUCUCUGAUGGAAGACAUAACCGUGGAACUGCUUGGACUGAAGUGAUGGGAGCAAGGCAAGGAUGACACAGGGUAGAGGACUGUGACAACCCCCAAUGUCUCCCUGCCUCCAAGAGAAACUCGGAUGUUGGAGAAGGACACUAACUGCUGGAAAACUCAUCAGGGAUGACUUUGGCCAUUGAUUUCCUGAGUGACUUUGGUCAAGUCAUGUAAUGUCUAAAGGCUGGCAUUAGGACACAUCUCAAAGCUUUCCUGGAUGCAUUUAAUUUAUCUGUUCUGCAAGGACAAAUAUCUGCUUGGUCAUGCUGGGGAGAGAAACCCCUCACUCCUCACAUCUUGAAUUUCUGGUCUCAGC